GACGAACGCUGGCGGCGUGCCUAAUACAUGCAAGUCGAGCGCAGGAAGCUGACGGAACUCUUCGGAGGGAAGGCAGUGGAAUGAGCGGCGGACGGGUGAGUAACACGUAAGGAACCUGCCUCAAGGAUUGGGAUAACUCCGAGAAAUCGGAGCUAAUACCGGAUAGUUCAACGGACCGCAUGGUCCGCUGAUGAAAGGCGCUCCGGCGUCACCUUGAGAUGGCCUUGCGGUGCAUUAGCUAGUUGGUGGGGUACCGGCCCACCAAGGCGACGAUGCAUAGCCGACCUGGGAGGGUGAUCGGCCACACUGGGACUGAGACACGGCCCAGACUCCUACGGGAGGCAGCAGUAGGGAAUCUUCCACAAUGGACGAAAGUCUGAUGGAGCAACGCCGCGUGAGUGAUGAAGGUUUUCGGAUCGUAAAACUCUGUUGUAAGGGAAGAACACGUACGAGAGGAAAUGCUCGUACCUUGACGGUACCUUACGAGAAAGCCACGGCUAACUACGUGCCAGCCGCCGCCGUAAUAC
rnacentral:rRNA from 1 species